rnacentral:rRNA from 1 species
AUUGAACGCUGGCGGCAUGCUUUACACAUGCAAGUCGAACGGUAACAGGCCGCAAGGUGCUGACGAGUGGCGAACGGGCGAGUAAUGCAUCGGAACGUGCCCAGUCGUGGGGGAUAACUACUCGAAAGAGUAGCGAAGACCGCAUACGAUCUAUGGACGAAAGCGGGGGACCGGAAGGCCUCGCGCGAUUGGAGCGGCCGAUGUCGGCUUAGGUAGUUGGUGGGGUAAAGGCUCACCAAGCCAACGAUCUGUAGCGGUUCUGAGAGGACGACCAGCCACAUUGGAGCUGAGCCACGCCCCAGACUCCUACGGGAGGCCGCAGUGGGGAAUUUUGGACAGUGGGCGCAAGCCUGAUCCAGCAAUGCCGCGUGCAGGACGAAAGCCUUCGGGUUGUGAACUGCUUUUGUACGGAGCGAACCGGCUCUGGUUAAUACCCGGGGCUAAUGACGGUACCGUAAGAAUAAGCACCGGCUAACUACGUG